CCCGCGCGCACUCUCUCUCUCUCUCUCUCUCUCUCUCUCUCUCUCUCUCUCUCUCUCUCUCUUUCUCUCUUGCUUUCUCUCUCGCCCUUGCUGCACCACGUGACUGCAGAGAGAAGCUCUAACACUGCGCGCGCGAAGGAAGGAGGCAGCAGCGCGAGAGAGAGAUGGAGGGAUGGAGUCCAUGCACACGAGAGAGAUAAAGAAAGCCAGCGCAAGUCAGACGCCAAGUGCUAGGAACAGACAGCAUGAGGAUGUAGACGGAGGGGAAGGAGGAAGAGGAGGAGAAAAGGGAUGCAUGAAGAGCUGAUCGUGAGCCGAAGCGCCAGCCAGCAACUCUCACUCUCUCUCUCUCUCUCUCUCUCUCUCUCUCUCUCUCUCUCUCUCUCUCUCUCUCUCUCUCUCCCUCUCUCCGGUAACUGGAACUGCUUGAGUGGAGGAAGCGUAAGGAAGCACAUGAGGAGUGGGCAGUGUGAAGGUGGCCAAUACAAGCCAAGCCCACCCCCCGCUACGACCAGCACUAAUGCAGAAGAUGGACUGGUGAGGGCAUUGUGGACUUCAUCAUUGGAGAACAGAUACACCUGCUGGACAUGAGCAAGAUGAGGUGCUUCACUGUUACAGUGCUCUGUCUGAAGGGACUGGACUGUUUGGUGGACAGAAGUCAUGGUCUUGAAGCUUGGAGGGUUGCCCAUGCAGAGUGGUGAGGAGGAGCUGGAGACUUCUCUAAGGACACUACUAGAGUCACACACACUCAAACCCCUUCAACAAGCCUGAGCCUCAGUUUUCUUGUAUGAGGCUGAAACUCUCCAGCCAAACAGGACCGAAGAUCCUGGACCCAGCAACCAGAGGAAAUGAUAUUCUUAGUCUUACAAUUAAAGGAUAUUUCUUUGAAGUUGAUUCGAAAGCAGAAAUGUCCCUUAAUUGUUGGGUUAAGUAUAUUCCCACGCGCCGAGGACAUCAGCACCAUGGACAGCUCCCCGAACUGAUUCUGGACCUGAGAGGUUCAGGGGGCGAGUUUACCUAUCCAUCACACCAUAUGCACGUUCCUCACUACUUUCAUCACCAUUAUGUAUCCAUCUUUUCUGCAUCAGUCAUGAGAGAACAAUAUGGUCUUGUAAUAUCCAUAGACAACAUUCAUUCAGUAUGAAUUGGUUUGAUCAAUAUAUAGACGAGCGCAGGCUUCAGCACGUCAUCAAUAUUCGCCCUGAUCUCCAGGGAUUCCAUUAAGGGGUCAAUAAUGCGAUUUAUCAAGCGCUGUUGCUGUCCUGGGAGCAGCUUAGUCAAACAUAAUGGACUGUCCAGAGCUGGUCAUGCAGUGUGAAGCAAGAGCUCAGAAAUGGGGAAGAGGGGAGUGGGGAACCGUGUGCAGUGAAGAGUCUGGCAAGGUUUAUAGAAAGGGAAAGAGCGCCCCCCCUGGGCUGUGGCAACAAGUGGUUGCUGCAGAUUGCAGGAGAGAGUUGAGGAAAAAGAGUCAAGAUGUUUUAAGCUGUGUAAACUCAAAUAAGGUAUUCAGUGAGGAAAAUGGAGAUUACAAAGGUUAAAAAGUCUACAUCAUAGCCAUGGUAUCGGUCUCCUCCAGCUCAAUACAUCUUAUCAGGCUGCUGCGUCGGUCAAACAUACAGCGCCUCACUGUCUGCUCUGAUGCCUGUCCACUAAUGUCUCUGAAUUCACAAAGAUUUGGGUUGUUUAAUGUUAAAGAUGGCACGAUACUGCUUUUUAUUUUCAGAGCACUUAAGACGAACAUCUAAAGGUAGCCUUUUGUGCUCACUCUACCCAAACACUGUAUAACCCCAGAGAAGGACAUGCAUAUGAUGUGUGUGCCAUUUCAGGUUAGAUUUGUUACAGCAUCAGAUGAUACCUGCAGUACCGAUACCUGGUGCAAUAUCUAAUUAGAAAACCUUUUGCGACAUCAUAAAUUCUCCUUUAACCUCUUAACAAUCCAGUUUAUUUCAUAUAAAGGCCUAUUAUUCAGUAACAACUGGGAAGUCACUGCAAACCAAUGGGGCUAUUAUAUGUUAUCGAAGUAUGCAAUAAAACGAUGGGCUAGCCAGCUUGCCCAUGGCUUGUUAAGGGGCUCAAUUUUACCGCAAUUUAAUUAUUAUUAAUUAAAAAAUUAACACAGCCUGACAGAAAAUGAUAUUCCUAAUACAUAAGUAUGAAUAUGAGCUUAUAUUCAUGCUUGCAUAUGGUUCUAGUAGGCUUCUCACAGCAGCCACUCAUAUUCAUGGAUUUGACUCUCAUUUUCACUGGGAAACAGUAGCGAAAGAUUUUCAUAGAUCUAUUUCUCAUUGUUACUUUGAUAGGACUCUAAUAUUGUAUAUUAAUAGUAAAAUCUUAUCCUCUGUUCA